GUUGAACGCUGGCGGCGGGCCUAAUACAUGCAAGUAGAACGCUUAAGGGGGAGUUGGUUCUGCUGUAUGAGUCGGGAAGGGGUGAGUAACCCGUGGGUAACCUUCCUGGUGGCGGGGGAUAACUAUUGGAAAGGAUAGCUAACACCUAAGGCCAACGGUUUUGGCUGGAUAACUUUUUAAAAUGGGCAACUGCUCCACUACCAGGUGGGCUUGCGUUGUAUUAGCUGUUUGGGGAGGUAACGGCCCACCAAGGCGACGAUACAUAGCCGACCCGGGAGGGUGAUCGGGCAAAAUGGGACUGAGACACGGCCCAGACUCCUACGGGAGGCAGCAGGAGGGAAUCUUCGGAAAUGGGCGGAAGUCUGACCGAGCAAAGCCGGGUGAGUGAAGAAGGGUUUCGGAUCGUAAAGCUCUGUUGUAAGGGAAGAAAGAGUGUGAGAGUGGAAAGUUCACACUGUGACGGUAUCUUAACAGAAAGGGACGGCUAACUACGUG
rnacentral:rRNA from 1 species